AAUCAUUAAAGUUUAAUCUAUGUCGUAUUAACCUCGGUAUUAACUGUGAAAUUCUACUCAAAAAAGGUUAACCUUCAGGGCAUGAACUGAAGGACAACCUGUUUGAAAUUGUGGUAACUAUGAAAAGCACAUGAAAUAUCACUUCAGGUUCACAUAUAUAGGGUGGUUUUGAACAACUUUAACUUUUUACUUCAGCUGAAGUGGAAGGCAAGUUCUAACACAAGCGCAUGGUAUUCAAAAAUACUCG